CUCAUAGCGUAUAUUAAAGUUGUUGCAGUUAGAACGCUCGUAGUCGGAUUUCGGGGCGGGGCGACCGGUCUGCCGAUGGGUACGCACUGGUCGGCGCGUCCUUCCUUCCGGAGACCGUGCCUACUCUUAACUGAGCGGGGGCGGGAGACGGAACGUUUACUUUGAAAAAAUCAGAGUGUUUCAAGCAGGCAGCUCGCUCUUGCAUGGAUUAGCAUGGGAUAAUGAAAUAGGACUUUGGUGCUAUUUUGUUGGUUUCGAACACCGAAGUAAUGAUGAGAAGGGACAGUCAGGGGCACUCGUAUUCCGCCGAGAGAGGUGAAAUUCUCAGACCAGCGGAAGACGAACCACUGCGAAAGCAUUUGCCAGGGAUGUUUUCACUGAUCAAGAACGAAGGUUAGGGGAUCGAAGACGAUCAGAUACCGUCGUAGUCUUAACCAUAAACCAUGCCGACUAGGGAUUGGGGGAUGUUCACUGAUUGACUCCCUCAGCACCUUACGGGAAACUAAAGUCUUUGGGUUCCGGGGGGAGUAUGGUCGCAAGGCUGAAACUUAAAGGAAUUGACGGAAGGGCACCACCAGGUGUGGAGCCUGCGGCUUAAUUUGACUCAACACGGGGAAACUUACCAGGUCCAGACAUUGUGAGGAUUGACAGAUUGAGAGCUCUUUCUUGAUUCGAUGG
rnacentral:rRNA from 1 species